rnacentral:rRNA from 2 species
AGUCAAUCUUACAUAUGGACGUGGAUAACUUCGAGAUACUGAGAAUAAUCCGUGAUAGAUCAUAACUCCUGGUACGGUAGAUGGUGGAACAUGAUUCGUCGCCAUAGGAUGGAUUGCGGCCUAUCAGCUUGUUGGCGAGGUAAUGGCCCACCAAGGCUAUUACAGGUAUGGGAUCCGAGAGGAGAAGCCCGGAGAUGGGUACUGAGACACGGACCCAGGCCCUAUGGGGCGCAGCCGUCGAGAAACCUUUGCAAUUCCCGCAAGCACGACAAGGUUAAUCCGACUGUUUCCUGCUAAAGGAAUCCUUUGUUAGUUCUAAAACCAUUGAUGAAUCAGAGGUGGGCAAGUUCUGGCGUCAGCCGCCGCGGUAAAACCAGCACCUCAAGUGGUCAGGAGGAUUAUUGCGCCUAUAGCAUCCGUCGCUGAUUCUGUAAGUUACCGGUUAAAUCCACAAGCUCAAGUAGUGGCCGGCCGGAAUAUAGAAUACAAUUAGGGCGUGGGAGAGCUAGACGGUGCUUGGUAGGAAGGGGUAAACUCCUUUGAUAUAUUGAGGACCACAGGUGCCGAAGGGGGUCAACCAGAACACGUUCCCCGGUGAGGGAUGAAAGUGGGGGGACCAAACCUGACUAGAUACCCGGGUAGUCCCAGCCCUAUACGAAGCAGACUAGGCGAUGCAGUGCGUAGUGACUAGUGAAGUGCUGCACGGAACCCGUUAAUUUUCCGUUCCGGGGAAGUAAGUACGCAAGUAUGAAAAUGAA